AUACGGAGGGGACUAGCGUUGUUCGGAAUUACUGGGCGUAAAGAGUUCGUAGGCGGACUGAUAAGUAAGAGGUGAAAUCCCAGGGCUCAACCCUGGAACUGCCUUUUAAACUGUCAGUCUAGAGACCGGAAGAGGUUAGGGGAAUACCUAGUGUAGAGGUGAAUUUCGUAGAUAUUAGGUGGAACACCAGUGGCGAAGGCGCCUAACUGGUCCGGUACUGACGCUGAGGAACGAAAGCGUGGGGAGCAAACAGGAUUAGAAACCCUUGUAGUCC
rnacentral:rRNA from 1 species